rnacentral:rRNA from 1 species
GACGAACGCUGGCGGCGUGCUUAACACAUGCAAGUCGAACGGAAAGGCCCUGCUUUUGUGUGGUGCCCGAGUGGCGAACGGGUGAGUAACACGUGAGUAACCUGCCCUUGACUUUGGGAUAACUUCAGGAAACUGGUGCUACUACCGGAUAGGAGCUCCUGCUGCAUGGUGGGGGUUGGAAAGUUUCGGCGGUUGGGGAUGGACUCGCGGCUUACUAGCUUGUUGGUGGGGGAGUGGCUUACCAAGGCUUUGACGGGUAGCCGGCCUGAGAGGGUGACCGGCCACCUUGGGACUGAGAUACGGCCCAGACGCCUACGGGGGGCAGCAGUGGGAAAUAUUGCACAAUGGGCGGACGCCUGAUGCAGCAACGCUGCGUGCGGAAUGACGGCCUUCGGGUUGUAAACCGCUUUCGCCUGUGACGAAGCGUGAGUGACGGUAAUGGGUGAAGAAGCACCGGCUAACUACGUG